UACGGGGGGGCGAGCGUUGUUCGGAAUUACUGGGCGUAAAGGGCGCGUAGGCGGUUCGCUAAGUCGGAUGUGAAAACUCUGGGCUCAACCCAGAGCCUGCAUCCGAAACUGGCGGGCUAGAGUUCUGGAGGGGAUAGCGGAAUUCCUGGUGUAGCGGUGAAAUGCGCAGAUAUCAGGAGGAACACCGAUGGCGAAGGCAGGUCUCUGGGCCAUAACUGACGCUGAGAAGCGAAAGCAUGGGGAGCGAACAGG
rnacentral:rRNA from 1 species